rnacentral:misc_RNA from 1 species
AAUUCUCAACUGCCUUUAUGGUGAAGUUGGAUUUGGAGGAUGUCUUGCUGGCGCUCUUUGGUGAGCUUCGUCGGCUCCUCUCGAAUGUAUAGGCCUUUCCGUAUGACAUUGUGAAGCGGCUCUGAUGUGAUAAUUAUCUGCGUUGGACGCCGUCGUUCGCUUUGAGUAUGGGGGUGGAUUGCGUGCGGUAAGGCGCGCUUGACCA